CAGCCUCAGGACCACCAUGGCCUGGACCCUUCUCCUCCUGGGCCUCCUCGCUCACUGCACAGGCUCCGUGGCCUCCUAUGAUGUGACUCAGCAGUCCUCAAUGUCAGUGACCUUGGGACAGACGGCCAGGAUCCCCUGUGUGGGAGACAACAUUAGUUGGAAAACUCUACACUGGUACCAGCAGAAGCCAGGCACGUCCCCCAGGCUGGUCAUCCAUAACAAUAACGAUCGGCCCUCGGGGAUCCCUGACCGAUUCUCAGGCUCCACCUCAGGGAACACGGCCACCCUGACCAUCAGCGGGGCCCAGGAUGGAGAUGAGGCCGACUAUUACUGUCAGGUGUGGGACAGCAGUGACAUUGCUCACAGUGACACAGGCAGACGGGGAAACCAGCUCCCUCGGCAGUACUGGAGCUCUUGA